GGGUAGCGUGCAAGCGUGCAGCAGCAGCGUCGUUGUCAUGUGCGGUGGCUACGUGUCGCGCCGCACUCGGCGAGCGAGGGCUGACGCGACGCUCCUGCUGCUCGUGCGUGGCGACUGUUGCCUUUUCACUUUCCACUUGCGAUCUCCCUCCGCCCCCACUCUUUGCCACGCUCCAAACCCCGGGCUGAAUCCGCGGCGCGCACGCUCAGCCCUGGGACCCCGGAGAGGAGGCUUCUCGGACCGAGGGGUGGUGAAAAUUUCUACGGGACAGCAGCGGCCCAGCAAUGCAGCCGGGUCUCCACUCACACUCCAAUGCGAGCAAACUGUGAGACAAGAAUAUAACCUGAGCGAGUCGCUUACCUUUCUGAAGAGAUGCCGCGAUACCAAGGCGCCACGCAAUUGAUGCCUCUCACCCGGCCACUCAUGGCGGCCCCGCAUGCUCUGGACAUGAAGGACCCGACGACCCGGCCUACUGCUCUUCACGAGAAGCCGGCUUCGUUGGGUCAAUUUCUUGUUCCCCCCGGCCUUCCAGGGCAGUCGAACCCAACCCACCUGGAGGACCGGUUUCACGAACUCGUUCAAAGACUCGAUUUGCGUGAUCCCCAUGCAUUGCACACUCCCACACCAUUAUGGGUUGUCGCGCUCGCAUGAAUCAUGGCGGGUAUUUGGCUGUUCCUGCUCGCCAUCGAGCUCAUGGGUGGUGUUACACGUUGUGGGUGGGAGAUGUUGAUUAUAUGGGAUCUUGUACGACGCGAUUGUUGGGUUGUUCACUUUUUUAAAUUCUUGCUGUUGUGUUUUUUUUUUCUCGGUGUAUAUAAUGUACAGUUGGGUUUGGGUAAUUUAUUACGUUGGCCUGUUAUUGUUGGAGAAACUUGUUUGUUGUUUUGUAUAAUUGUAUUUCGGUUGCUUACUUGCGGGGGAGUUGGCAGCCAGGACGGCUGGAAGCUACGGAAGGUGGGGUGAUGUAGUGACUGUGAAUGUCACUGUGUGGUGCCACGCUUACGAAGUCACAGCGGAUAAUGUGUCGGCAUUAUGUGUAGCCUGCUUACUGGGCAUAUUACCAGCCCUAGCAGGGCUUCGGUGAGCGCUAGUCAGCACGGAGGCGCCACAUACAGUGUGUGGUGUGGGCUUCCGGUGAGGAAGUGAGACGGAGUGUCAGCCAGCCAGGGUUACGCUGGGGCAUGAUACGCUGGUUAACCUGCCGACACAUGACCGGAUGAUAUUGGAGGGGGGCCACCAGUGGACGGGGGCCAGUCAGCGGUCACGUGGUAUAAAAUAGCUUUCGGGAGCCUUCAGGAAAGAGCUCGAAAGAUCUAGCAGGUGGGCGGGGCGAGUGGCGGAGCCAGCCCUAGCCCAGGCCGAUAUAACGGGGGCCCCGUGAGAGGCUCGGGGUUCUUCGUGUUGCUGGUGAAGAUGAUCCACGUCGGGUAAAGAAGCCCCUAGCCACGCGAUCCGGUGCCCAGCUUGUGGUCCGGGCCGGGAUAGCGAACCGUGUCUAGUUCUGCCGUAGCGUGGCUAGAUUGGUAUUCAUCACCAAAGCGUAGGUUGUGUUAUGUUAUGUUGAGUUACUGAAAUAAAUAGU